rnacentral:lncRNA from 10 species
GAAUGUCAUUUAGCAGAUGGCAUUUGAGCAAACACUUGCAAAAGGUGAGGAAGAUAGCCAUCAUAGCUGAUGGAACAAGCAAAACAAAAGUCAUAAGGAAGAAUUGUACUCGUGUGUUUGAAGACAUCAAGGAAUCCGGGGCGAUAGACAUAGCAAGUGAGGGGAGGGUAUGAGAGGAAUUGGGUGGGAGGCACAGUGGGAGGCCAGGGCAUUUAAGAUGUUGAGGACUUUCGGCUUCAUGCAGCAUAACUGAGUAUAUUUAAGAAAGAAUGCUCAUUGAAUGUUCCCGUUACACCAUGCACUGAGGGUUCACAGUCUCUGCUUUGAAUCAGACAUUCACAGGAUCAGACAUGUGAUUCAGGGACUUAGCAAGAGGGAGUGAUCAGUGCAUUGGCCUCUGUUUUAUGACAAACCACCAAAGGACAUGUGUCCUCACACAACAGGUACACUUGCUUUGGCAUACAGAACCUCCCCAGAUGGCUGUGCUGGAGCAAAUCUCCAAUUGGAUAGCCUCAUUUCAAGUGCUCCACAGGCACAACGAACAACCGACUACCAUGUGGGCCACUGCAGCCCUAGGAAAUACGAAUGAUGGGCUCUGAACCAAUCUAAGUGGAAUGACUUUAAACAGAAAUAAUGACUCAAGUUCUCGAACUUAAGUAUGCUUCAGUAUCAUGUGCAGAGCUUGUUAAAACAUAAAUCGCUGGACUCCACACCCAGAGACUGAUUCAAUAGUUCUGAAGUGGGGAUCCCAAAUUUCCUUUUCUAAUAAUUUUCCAGGUGAUGCUAAUACUGCCCUUCAAGAGCCACGGGUGAUGAGGCUUUGGGAAAUCAGCUUUGUAACUUUUAAGUGGAAAAAGGGACAUAUAGUUCCUAAACAUGAUAUAAAUCUCUCCUCCAUUACAGUAACAAUUAGUGCUAUAGUAGAAAAGACAGGUGGUCAAAUUGUACUUAAGAUUACAAUUUGGUCACUAAAUGGAAUAACA